AGAAUCAACGCUGGCGGCGUGCCUAACACAUGCAAGUCGAACGAGAAAGGGGAGCAAUCCCUGAGUAAAGUGGCGACCGGGUGAGUAACACGUGACUAACCUACCUUCGAGUGGGGGAUAACCUCGGGAAACCGAGGCUAAUACCGCAUAACAUCGUGAGAUCAAAGCAGUAAUGCGCUGGAAGAGGGGGUCGCGGCUGAUUAGCUAGUUGGCGGGUAAUGGCCCACCAAGACUGUGAUCGGUA
rnacentral:rRNA from 1 species